GACGAACGCUGGCGGCGUGCCUAAUACAUGCAAGUCGAGCGAAGUUUUUCCGGUUCUUGCACCGGAAAGACUUAGCGGCGAACGGGUGAGUAACACGUAAAGAACCUUCCUCAUAGACUUGGACUACUAUUGGAAACGAUAGCUAAUACCGGAUAAUAGCAUUAACUGCAUGGUUGAUGUUUAAAAGUUGGGUUUGCUAACACUAUGAGAUGUCUUUGCGUGGCAUUAGGUGGUUGGUGGGGUAAAGGCCUACCAAGGCGACGAUGCAUAGCCGACCUGAGAGGGUGAUAGGCCACACGGGGAGUGAGACACGGCCAAGACGCCUGCGGGAGGCAGCAGUAGGGAAUCGUCCGCAAAGGGCGAAAGCCUGGCGGAGCAACGCCGAGUGAGUGAAGACGGAUUUCGGUUCGUAAAGCUCUGUUGUUAGGGAAGAAUGAUUGUGUAGUAAGUAUACGCAGGAGAGACGGUAACUAACAAGAAAGCAACGGCUAACUACGUG
rnacentral:rRNA from 1 species